GAAAUGCGAUAAGUAAUGUGAAUUGCAGAAUUCCGUGAAUCAUCGAAUCUUUGAACGCAUAUUGCACUCUCUGGUAUUCCGGAGAGUACGCCUGUUUGAGUGUCAGUUCAAAACCUCAACUCCCCCUAUAGGGCGUUGGAUUUGAGUGAUUUCCUAUUCUUCACCUCAAGAAUGGGUCGCUUUAAAAUCAAUGGCAAAACUUUUUAUUAGUAGCUCAUGCCUAAAGCAACUAGGACUCUUUUUCGAGUUUGAAUGGCUUAAGGUGAUUACUGUGAAAAGCAAAUUUGGCCUUGAACUAAAAUUAAAAUCAAAGAUUUUCGUUUAACAGCGUGUCUUUGAAACUUGACCUCAAAUCAGGUGGGACUACCCGCUGAACUUAAGC
rnacentral:misc_RNA from 1 species